rnacentral:lncRNA from 1 species
GGCAAGAUUCAUGCUGUCCUGAGGAUGAUGCCUGACGGGUCAUCAAGAGUUUGUUUGGGCUGAUCAGACUUGUUUGAUCUUAUGGCUGUAAUAGGAUGUUAAACUCUCCUGUUUUGCUGUUUCCUGGUUCGAACUUGUGCUGGUUGUUUCCCUGUAACGCUGGUAUCCCCAGCAGACGACUUAUUCGUCUUUCUAUAAAGCUGGGCCUAAAAAUGCCUUUUAU